UACGAAGGUGGCAAGCGUUGUUCGGAUUCACUGGGCGUACAGGGUGUGUAGGCGGUUUGGUAAGCCUUCUGUUAAAGCUUCGGGCCCAACCCGGAAAGCGCAGAGGGUACUGCCAGGCUAGAGGGUGGGAGAGGAGCGCGGAAUUCCCGGUGUAGCGGUGAAAUGCGUAGAGAUCGGGAGGAAGGCCGGUGGCGAAGGCGGCGCUCUGGAACAUACCUGAUGCUGAGACACGAAAGCGUGGGGAGCAAACAGG
rnacentral:rRNA from 1 species